AUGCUUCGAAACAUCAGAGAUUUUGUUAACGUCAUGUUUGUUAUCAAGCAUGAUCCCAAUUCGAACACUGUUACUCUUAAAAUGUGUCGGUGUGGGAGUGAAGAAUAUUGCUCGAAAGAGUUCACAAGCAACAGGAUUAUGAAUCUCGUCAAGGAUUGAGGACAUAGCAAUAGACUACCGUGAGAUCCUGUUUGUAGCUGUGAAACAGCAAGGACUUUUCUUAGCUACUCCUGCUGAAUUUUUGUUCUGAGGUGCAUGACAUAACCUACUCUCUGAUGCCAUUUUGAUAUCUCAGCCGGUGGUAGUAGAAUGUAUUUUUCUGAUGUGUGGGCAACAUAUUUCUAUAUCGCAUAGCUAUUUUUCAGUUUCUACUUGCCUAGACCUGCUGGCACAUAUGAAUGAAAAAUAUGCAGACGUCUGGAGGCAAAAUGUUUGUUUUAGCUUCCGCAUUUGGUUAUAUGGUACAAAUAAGUAGGUCAUAUUGUGUUAAAACCAGUUGUUUUGGUUCCAUUGCUGCCGAACAAAACAAAUGAGCAGCAGGUUUGAUUCCUGGUAAGGAAUCCAUGAUCAUCAGUGGGUUUGAGUGAAACCAAGUGGAAUGAUUUAAUCCAGGUCUGGUUUGAAAACAGGGCUGGCUUGAAAACAGGCCUGCCGAACGAGGCCUUACCUGGCUAAGGAUGUGGCCUCUGACAUUGCGAGUUCAAAAGUCCCAGUGUUCCUGUACACAGACCCAUCCAGAACGAAAGACUCUUGGUGACGUACGGCGUGACCUUGGCUACUACAAGCCGAGGAAUGGCGCGGACCGCCAGUGAUCAGGCGUGAUGUAACUUGAUACGACAGAGGGAAAUAAACCUGAUGUAGUUUUUCAAAAAAAUAAACCAGAUGUGUGCCCAACAAUAGUUGAUCAUCAAAUGCUACAAAAAAAAAGGUGUCACAACAGUUGGUGCCAUGCCUUUUGUUGAGGGCUAUAAUGUGCCAGUGCAGUCCAAGAAUAUCAAAAAAGUGGAGGACAUUGUGAAAAAAUUAAGAGAACAACUAGGUGGUCGCGGUGGUGAAGGGUCCCCAAAGUUGUUAGCUUUGGCACUUCGCCAUGGGAGUUUUGUAGAGGUCGGAUGCUUGUUGGAUCCAAAUCAUCUCAGGGCCGAUCAAGUUCAGGACAAGGUCAAGCAGAUUGCAGCAGAGCGAGGACUUGAAGAUAAAGUUCAAAAGGGGUACUACACUGACAUAACCAAGGAUAUGAUUCUCUUACAUCUGUCUAAGAUAUUGUAUGAGAAUCGUAUCCUUGGUGUAUGCCCAAGUUAAAAUGGCUCCGGAAGUGAAGAACGGGAGGGCACGAAUGAGUCAGUUACUAAAGGCUCCCAAAUAACUGUUGUACGUAUGUUAAUCAUGUAUGAUACCAAUAAUCAUACGAAUCUGUAUAUGUGUAGUGUGUAUAUGUAUGUGUAUGCGUAUGUGUGUAUGUAGUGUGUGUAUGCAUGUGUACAUACCCAUGUAUAUAUGUAUUUGUGUAUAUACCCAAGUGUAGCUACUCCACACUAUAUUAUCUAUUGGUUGUUGGAUUUGGACGGGGAAGAAUCCAUAAAGGAUCUAA